rnacentral:lncRNA from 1 species
AUUAAGGUGGGGGGGGGGCAAUUAACGAACCAAGCAAUUAAUUAACGAACCAACCAAUUAAUUAACGGGGGGGGGCCGGGGGGGGGCCUCUGGGUCCUGGCAGGGGUGUAGAGAGGGGCCUGGGGGGGCCUUGAAACCACCCAACCCCCCCCCCGGGGAGCCCCGAAACCACCAAAACUCUUACGGGGGAGCACCAAAACCUCCCCCAAACCCCCCAGAGGAGCCCCAAAACCUCUCAAAUUCCCCCAAGGGAGCCCCAAAACCCCCAUGGUCUCUCUGGGGAGCCCCGAAACCCCCNAAAUCCCUCCUGGGGAGCCCCAAAACUACCAGAAUCCCCCCGGGGAGCCCCAAAACCACGCAAAUCCCCCCAAGGGAGCCCCAAAACCUCCACGGUUCUUCCGGAGAGCCUCAAAACCGCCACAAUUCCCAACGGGGAGCCCCGAAACCACCCAAAUCCCCUCCGGGGAGCCCCGAAACCACCCAAAUCCCUAAAAGGGAGCCCCCAAAACACCC